rnacentral:lncRNA from 1 species
UGUCAUUUGCAUCAGUAUUGUGAGAGCAGUCGAACAAGAUGAAAGGUUUUGUGCUAUUCCUGGUUGUCGUGCUUCUUGCGUACACGUACGCUGCCCCACAGGCAUCUAACUACGGCAAUGUGACGGCGAAUGGCGGCAGUGCCGCUUCUGGAGCCGUGUCAGGCUCCACUUUUGGUGAUGGGGCAUUCAGCACAAGACCAAGAAUGUGUGGAUGGUUGAUCCUAUUUCCUUGCUGAGUGUGCAGUGAAAAGCCUAUACCUUAUUAUCUAACUGGUCGAAGAACACUUGAAUGGUUUUUUUUUUAAUAGUGACUAGUUAUUCUAUAUGCAUACUAAUACCGAAUAUGUAAACAAUAAUUUAGACAAAUAAUGUAAAUAUUGCUUAAAAUAA